UACGUAGGGUGCGAGCGUUAAUCGGAAUUACUGGGCGUAAAGCGUGCGCAGGCGGUUUUGUAAGCCAGAUGUGAAAGCCCCGGGCUUAACCUGGGAAUGGCAUUUGGGACUGCAAGGCUGGAGUUUGGCAGAGGAGACUGGAAUUCCUGGUGUAGCAGUGAAAUGCGUAGAUAUCAGGAGGAAUACCGAUGGCGAAGGCAGGUCUCUGGGACGGUACUGACGCUGAGACGCGAAAGCGUGGGGAGCGAACAGG
rnacentral:rRNA from 1 species